AGUGAACGCUGGCGGCAUGCCUAACACAUGCAAGUCGAACGGCAGCACAGUAAGAGCUUGCGCUUACGGGUGGCGAGUGGCGGACGGGUGAGGAAUACAUCGGAUUCUACUUUUUCGUGGGGGAUAACGUAGGGAAACUUACGCUAAUACCGCAUACGACCUACGGGUGAAAGCAGGGGAUCUUCGGACUUUGUGCGAUUGUAUGAGCCGAUGUCGGAUUAGCUAGUUGGCGGGGUAAAGGCGCACCAAGGCGACGAUCCGUAGCUGGUCUGAGAGGAUGAUCAGCCACACUGGAACUGAGACACGGUCCAGACUCCUACGGGAGGCAGCAGUGGGGAAUAUUGGACAAUGGGCGCAAGCCUGAUCCAGCCAUACCGCGUGAGUGAAGAAGGCCUUCGGGUUGUAAAGCCCUUUUGUUGGGAAAGAAAAGCAGCAGGUUAAUACCCCGCUGUUCUGACGGUACCCAAAGAAUAAGCACCGGCUAACUUCGUG
rnacentral:rRNA from 1 species